rnacentral:rRNA from 1 species
CUGAACCAGCCAAGUAGCGUGAAGGAUGACUGCCCUAUGGGUUGUAAACUUCUUUUAUAAAGGAAUAAAGUCGGGUAUGCAUACCCGUUUGCAUGUACUUUAUGAAUAAGGAUCGGCUAACUCCGUGCCAGCAGCCGCGGUAAUACGGAGGAUCCGAGCGUUAUCCGGAUUUAUUGGGUUUAAAGGGAGCGUAGAUGGAUGUUUAAGUCAGUUGUGAAAGUUUGCCG